UGGGGAAUUUUGGACAAUGGGCGCAAGCCUGAUCCAGCCAUUCCGCGUGAGUGAAGAAGGCCUUCGGGUUGUAAAGCUCUUUCAGCAGGAACGAAACGGUCGGCUUUAAUAAAGUCGGCUAAUGACGGUACCUGCAGAAGAAGCACCGGCUAACUACGUGCCAGCAGCCGCGGUAAUACGUAGGGUGCGAGCGUUAAUCGGAAUUACUGGGCGUAAAGCGUGCGCAGGCGGCGACAUAAGACAGAUGUGAAAUCCCCGGGCUCAACCUGGGAACUGCGUUUGUGACUGUGUUGCUAGAGUGUAGCAGAGGGGGGUGGAAUUCCACGUGUAGCAGUGAAAUGCGUAGAGAUGUGGAGGAACACCGAUGGCGAAGGCAGCCCCCUGGGUUAACACUGACGCUCAUGCACGAAAGCGUGGGGAGCAAACAGGAUUAGAUACCCCCGUAGUCCCUGAGCGGGCUGGCAAGGCGCAU
rnacentral:rRNA from 1 species